rnacentral:rRNA from 1 species
UACGUAGGGUGCAAGCGUUAAUCGGAAUUACUGGGCGUAAAGCGUGCGCAGGCGGUUGUGCAAGACAGAUGUGAAAUCCCCGGGCUUAACCUGGGAAUUGCAUUUGUGACUGCAUGGCUGGAAUGCGGCAGAGGGGGAUGGAAUUCCGCGUGUAGCAGUGAAAUGCGUAGAUAUGCGGAGGAACACCGAUGGCGAAGGCAGCCCCCUGGGUCAAGACUGACGCUCAUGCACGAAAGCGUGGGGAGCAAACAGG